UAAAGCCUCGGCUUGGGGUGUAGAUGACGGUUGUUGAGCUUUAGUGUCUUCAGCAAUCCAUUAGAUAUCAACUAGAGGAAUCAUUUUUUGAAGGUUUUAGCGAUCGGGUGCAUACAAAUUAAAAGUUAUAGGUCGGCUAAGGCCAUUUUUUAGGGAAAAUACGAAAAAAUGGCCUUAGCCGACCAAAAACCUUUAAUUUUGUAUGCAGCCGAUCGCUAAAACCUUCAAAAAAUGAUUCCUCUAGUUGAUAUCUCAUGGAUUGCUGAAGACACUAAAGCUCAACAACGUCAUCAACACCCCAAGCCGAGGCUUUAGCCGACUUUAA